UACGUAGGUGGCAAGCGUUGCCCGGAUUUCACUGGGCGUAAAGAGCGCGCAGGCGGUCGUUCAAGUCGCGUGUGAAAGCCCCCGGCUCCAACUGGGGAGGGUCGACGCGAUACUGAUCGACUCGAAGGCAGGAGAGGGUAGUGGAAUUCCCGGUGUAGUGGUGAAAUGCGUAGAGAUCGUGAGGAAGACCAGUGGCGAAGGCGGGUCUCUGGACAGUUCCUGACACUGAGGCACGAAGGCCAGGGGAGCAAACGGG
rnacentral:rRNA from 1 species